AAUAUAAAGCCAGUUGAUUUGGAUCUUAUUAAUGCUUAUUCCAGAUAUGGACUUAAAUAAAACAAAUUCGUUAUUUUUAGACUUUUGUGGAGGGGAAAUUUUAUGGGAUGAAACCACGAUCAACACUGCAACUCCCCAAUUUUCAGCAUGUUUUCUUAAUACACUGACGUUGAUACCAUGUGCUUUUCUGUGGAUUGUCUCCCCUUUCUUUGUGCUUUAUAUCAAGAAGAAAACAAGGAAAAGUCCACUUCCGGUGUCACGUUUAAACAUGAUCAAAGGGGUGGUGUCAUUCAUACUGAGCUGUUUGACUGUGUUGUCACUUAUUCUACAAGAGCAUUAUGGGCCUUGGUGCGAAGCCUACUCUGCUGUAUCAGCCGCGAGCUAUGUGUCGUCUGCAUUAAAAUUUGCUACAUUU